CGGUGGCUCAGAAACACGGUACAGCUGUUGUGAAGGUGUCCUUGGCUCUGCCGGGUGUCAGGUCGCCAAGCUUCACGUUCAUGACCAAAAGGAAAACCUAGAGGGCUUUGUGAAGACUUUUGUCAAGUCCCCGCCCCCCGACGGCAAUCAUGGUGUAUUUGCUGUGAACUGUGAGGUGUGCUACACAGCCAAAGGUUUGGAACUUACGCAAGUGACGGUGGUUGAUCCCAGCCUUCAGGUGGUCUAUGCUACAUUUGUGAAACCAGAUGAAGAAGUAAUUGACUAUAACACUAGGUUUUCUGGUGUGGUCGAAGAGGACCUGAAGAACAUCAAAACUUCAAUCCGUGAUGUCCAAGCCAUCCUGUUGAACCUGUUCAGUGCUGACACUGUCUUAAUUGGACACAGCUUUGAAAACAGUCUUUAUGCUCUUAAGGUAAAGAAAUACAGGCUUAUACUUUUACAAAACAGUAUGUGUUAAGAUGGUAGUCAUUAUCAUUGUUAUCAGUGAUUGUUGAUUUGCCCCAUUAACUAAGAAGAAAAGAACUGCUGUCCAUGUUGAUAACAUAGUCCAACUAUUAUAAACCAGAAGCUGCAAUAUAAGACAGCUAAAGUCAUUUGGUUCAUCCAGAUCAGAAAGUCCAUUAAUUAUGAUAAAACCAAAAUCAUUGUUUAACAUCCUCUUUAAUAAUUGUCUUUAAUACUCAAAUGGGGAAGACUAAGUUUAUCUAACAGGUUAUUUUAUUCACAUCCUUAGAGACACUUUUUCAUAUUAAGUCAGGUAGGUUUAUAGGUACGCUCAAAAUCAAAUGUCAUGUUCAUUUUUUUUGGCAUGAUCUACUUGAAAAUCUCCCCUGUAAUAUACUUCAGGUUAAAAUUAUCUGUUCUUUGCUGUGUGUUCUAGAACAGGAGUCAGAACACUAUGGCCCAUGCUGGCCACCUAGUUUUUGCAAAUAUUGUUGUUAGACCCACUGCUCCCAUUCACUUCUGUAUCUUCUGUAGCUGCUUUCAUGCUACAGUAGCACUGCUAAAUAGUAGUAGCAGAGACUGUGUGGUCUCCAAGCUGAAAACAUUCACAACUGGGCACUUAAAGACGGAGUUUGGUGGCCACCCCUGCUCUAGAACACUGGCAUCCAAUCAGCCUUUCUAUAUGUUCACUAUCUACUAUGGUAGAUGGUAGCCACGUUUGGUUAUUGAACAUUUACAAUAUGUCUAAUGUGACUGAGAAAAUGAUUUUUGCAUUUUUUAGGUAGCCACAUGUGGCUGGUGGCUUAUCAGAGGGCACAGCACAGCUCUAGAACUUUGGAGACUCUAGAACUUUCAGCCACCCUAGGACUUACCUUCAGGCAAAGAAGGGCUAGUUCUUUUUUAGUGCAAGAAUACCAGUAAGGCCAUUUACAUUUCAUAGGUGGAUGUCAGCCUUUUUCUAUGUAAAGCUGGGAUUCAAAGAAUAGAUAUUUGUCUCAAAUAGCAUUGUUGUCUCUGCAUGUGACAGAUAAUACUGGAAUGUGCUUCCACUCAGACCCUGCCAAGCUGUGUGGAAAGAGAGGUGGGGACAUAAAUUUUCUGUAAGAACGCUCUUUCCAGGGAUGUCCUUCCCUCACCUUCCAUCACCUCAGUGACCUCACCUCUCAAACUGUUCAGGAGCCAUCCUAUUGCACCUGUCUCCCAGACCACACAAUUUCUAGCCGUCAUGAUUCCUCAUUGUGCUCAGUCUGUUUGUCCAGAUAACUCCUGGAUUUUCCUGUUUGUCUCUAUUUCCACCACCACCUUUUAUUUACUCAAUACUCUGCAGCCAGGAACUGGUGUCUCGUUGGUAGUUGACACAUUAAAGGAGAAUUUAAGUGCUUCUAGCAUGCUGAAUGUUAAAUCUCCAAUUCCUCAGUUUUCAGUGGGUCUUUAAAUUACUCUUGAGGCUAAUCUUCUUGCAUGCACCUUUCAAAAAUGCAACUCUCCUAAUGAAUCCAAACUGUUUCUAGGCUCUGUUGUCUGACUGCUCUUCAUCUAUCCUAUUUUCUGCUUUCUGAAACUUGUGUAAAAUUUAUUCACCAUCUUAAAUGUAUAAGCACAGGAAAUUUGGAACUAGACGGGACACAGUCCUUGUCCAUGCCCCCUCCCCGGACACAGACAAGUAAACCACUAAUCUGCGGUAGGACAUGUGCUAGGUUGAGGUGUGCCCCCCUCAGCUGAGUCCCAAGGUGGUAGGGGCAUGGCUUUGCAUCUCCCCCCAGUCUUUGAUGGACCCUCUCUGCCCUCAUGCUGCCCCCUGGUGGUGCUCUCACAGUAGGAAAGUGGUUCCCAAAGUCUUAGAUUUGAUUUCUGGGUUCUCUACUAACUCCCUUCUUAAUCUCUCAGAACUUCAGUUUUCUUGACUGUAAAGAAGGGACAAAAGGUCUACCUCAUUGAGUUACUCUGCAAGUUGUAAUGGAUAUUCCAUGUAGCAUGCUUAGUCACUGUUACAUCAUAACUGCUUCAUGUUACUUGCUUUUGUAGCAUAACUCUGCUGCUACCAUUGUUGCUGCUAUCUAUAUGGUUACUCAUUGGGAAAAUCUCUGAUAGGAUUUUCUCUUUCUUUUGACAGUUAAUUCACACUUCAGUUGUGGACACAACAGUUCUGUUUCCUCAUCGACUAGGCUUGCCUCACAAAAGAUCCCUUAAGAGUCUGGUGGCUGACUACCUACAGAGGAUUAUUCAGGAUGAUGGUAAGAGCCUGUUUGCUAAUGAUAAAUACCAGGACCCUACGUCUGACUUAAGUAAACAAACCAUGUGAUUGAUGGUAAAAGUUCUGCCCUCUGAAAUGCUUAAGGUAGGUUCUUAUUCAUGGAUUCUCUCCUAUAGUGGAAAGACUUGUACCUGCUUAUGUGAAAGCUUGUAAAAAGCCAAUGCCCACUGCCAGGUAUAGUCCUGGAUCUUCCACAGGCAUCAAAACAGCAGCUAUACAGAAAAUGAUGGCCAGAUAAUUGUUGGGCAAAUUGCCUGGCCUUUGAAUUCAUGUAUAAAACUUCUUUUGGUGUGGAGAUCGAAUUCCAUUCUAAAUUUUGCUGUGUACCCCUUUUCAUAUAGGCUUUUCAUUAAAUGAGGUUAUGAAAUUCACUGGGUUCAGGUUAUCUCACCCAGAGUAAAUGGUGUGUUGUUAGAAGAAGUAUAGCUCAAAUUCAAUACAUGCAUUAUAUGUGCACUUGACUUCUACUCAAUUAGUGUAUCUUGCUCCCAGAACAUUUUCUGGGUUUGCUGAUGAUUAACUUGUCUAAUGUUGGGUGUAUUUCAAGUACAAGUGUAGCAACCACCUCCCUUGUUAGUGGCAUUGCUGUAUGCACAGUUGAGCAGUGCAUGCCUUGGAAUAGGUCAGUUACUCAACACCUUCAUGCCCAUAUAGUUUCCUCUUACGUACAAUACAGAAGUGUAAGAAAAUUAAUUCUGAGCAUGUUAAAAUUUGUUACAAUGCUAUGUUUCUAAAGAUACCUAAGAUACGGGAAGCCCUUCUGAUCAUGUCAUGAAUUGUACAAAAUACAUAUUGUACCCCUAUGGUCUUUUUCUUUCAUUCUUUGUCUGUGAGACACUAAUACAAUCUCAAAGUGGAUCUUUACCUGCUUUGUUAAAAAUACAUCUCAAAGAGCUCCUACAAAAUUCUAUUAUAAAAUGUGUUCUAUUGCAAUCCAUCUUAAGCCUUACACAUGAAAAUAUUUCACUUAAAAAAUAGCUUAUAUAAAAGUACAGAUAUUU